rnacentral:lncRNA from 1 species
AUGAGGCUAGAAAAAACAAGAGUUUACCUUUGCUCAGGUCUCUGGUGCCUGGACUCAGUGAACUUUUCAUUUAGCAUAUCUGCAAGCACAGGGUUUGCUUACUUGUUGUCUUCUGCUGUUCCUGGAAGAGCCUUAGGCAUCACUGCUCCCAGGGGAAUAUCUGGGCCCAGGAUGAAAACUGUGUAUUAGAACAAUUACGCCUCAGGGUGAAUGUGUAAGUAUAAUGAUACUGAAACUUGGCUUCUUUUCAAAAUAUACAAGUCUCUGACAGUUUGGUAUUGAAAAGCAAGUGAUUCACAUACAUAAAAAAUAGAAGCAGACCAAAAAUGUCAAGGUUUGACAGAGGGCAAAUCCAAAAUACUUCCAAUAAGAGGAAAAAGAGUUCAUUUUAAAAGCGUAAUUGCUGAGUGUCUUCUCAGGAAUAUAUUUAUUUCAUGAAAAUAUCAUUUGUAUAUUAGACAUAAUUAUAAAUUAGAUGCAAUAAUUUUCAAAAAGUGUAAGUAUAUACAGAAGCCUCCCACUCUGCACACUUACCACGCACAGCAGCAGCUUAUAGAAUGGAGAGUAGGAGUUAAUGGUCAGUUUUCUUACUGGAAGAAAAUCACCAUGGAGUCCCUGGGGGAUGUAUUCAUCAGCGAUCUGAAAAAGAGAAUGAGCAGUGAAGUGACACAGUUUGCUAAGUUACUGAGGAUAAUGAAGGCAAGGGUAGCGACAAAAAGAUGCAGAAGGUGCUCACAAGGACUAGGUGGUACAAUAGCAGAUUGAGAUCUCUGUUAAUAUAUGUAGCAGGGUGAAUGAAGGAAGACAAAUGCAAUUAAACAUACAUAACGGUAAGAAAUUAAUUAACUCUUACACUGAGAAUAUUAUCCUUGAAUAUUUUUAUGAAAUUCAGCUUAAUUUUCCUCUGUGGUCACAAACUCCAAAUAUUUUUAAGGAAAAAAAAAAAAAAAAAGAGAGAAUAAAGCAGAGAGCAUUAUGAGCA